rnacentral:rRNA from 1 species
GAUGAACGCUGGCGGCGUGCUUAACACAUGCAAGUCGAACGGGAUCCAUCAAGCUUGCUUGGUGGUGAGAGUGGCGAACGGGUGAGUAAUGCGUGACCGACCUGCCCCAUACACCGGAAUAGCUCCUGGAAACGGGUGGUAAUGCCGGAUGCUCCGACUCCUCGCAUGGGGUGUCGGGAAAGAUUAUAUCGGUAUGGGAUGGGGUCGCGUCCUAUCAGGUAGUCGGCGGGGUAACGGCCCACCGAGCCUACGACGGGUAGCCGGCCUGAGAGGGCGACCGGCCACAUUGGGACUGAGAUACGGCCCAGACUCCUACGGGAGGCAGCAGUGGGGAAUAUUGCACAAUGGGCGCAAGCCUGAUGCAGCGACGCCGCGUGCGGGAUGACGGCCUUCGGGUUGUAAACCGCUUUUGAUCGGGAGCAAGCCUUCGGGUGAGUUAC